rnacentral:rRNA from 1 species
GACGAACGCUGGCGGCGUGCUUAACACAUGCAAGUCGAACGGAAAGGCCCUGCUUUUGUGGGGUGCUCGAGUGGCGAACGGGUGAGUAACACGUGAGUAACCUGCCCUUGACUUUGGGAUAACUUCAGGAAACUGGGGCUAAUACCGGAUAGGAGCUCCUGCUGCAUGGUGGGGGUUGGAAAGUUUCGGCGGUUGGGGAUGGACUCGCGGCUUAUCAGCUUGUUGGUGGGGUAGUGGCUUACCAAGGCUUUGACGGGUAGCCGGCCUGAGAGGGUGACCGGCCACAAUGGGACUGAGAGACGGCCCAGACGCGUACGGGAGGCAGCAGUGGGGAGUAUGGCACAAUGGGCGGAAGCCAGAUGCAGCAACGCCGCGUGCGGGAUGACGGCCUUUGGGUUGUAAACCGAUUUCGACGGUGACGAAGCGUGAGUGACGGUAAUGGGUAAAGAAGCACCGGCUAACUACGUG